CAAUAGCGUAUAUUAAAGUUGUUGCAGUUAGAACGCUCGUAGUCGGAUUUCGGGGCGGGCCGACCGGUCUGCCGAUGGGUAUGCGCUGGUCGGCGCGUCCUUCCUUCCGGAGACCGUCCCUACUCUUAACUGAGCGGGGGCGGGAGACGGGACUUUUACUUUGAAAAAAUCAGAGUGUUUCAAGCAGGCAGCUCGCUCUUGCAUGGAUUAGCAUGGGAUAAUGAAAUAGGACUUUGGUGCUAUUUUGUUGGUUUCGAACACCGAAGUAAUGAUGAGAAGGGACAGUCAGGGGCACUCGUAUUCCGCCGAGAGAGGUGAAAUUCUCAGACCAGCGGAAGACGAACCACUGCGAANGNAUUUGCNAGGGAUGUUUNCACUG
rnacentral:rRNA from 1 species